rnacentral:misc_RNA from 1 species
AAGUAAAUCCCAAUCUUGACCUUCCUCGCUACCUCUGAUUUUGUCCCUUCAGCCUGAAUUGGCUGCGAACGGUCUGCCUCAUAGGCCUUGCAUGUGAUCAAGGAUUCCUUUUGGGGUUUUGAUACUGAAAAUGACUCAAUCGAGGAGACAUGUAGAGGUUUUGACACACAGAGAAUGGGUUUUGAGUUCUUCUGGACUGUUAUUGAUGGAAGACACAAAGAUCUCUGCACCGUUAAUGGACUUUUUCUACGAAAAAUCGUGUCAGAUCCAUUGAUCAUGGGAGCUAUAGCAGAUUGCUUCACGGUACAAAUCAUGUUGCCUAAACAAAUAUUUUUCAAACUUAAAAUCCUAAAGGGUCUAAAGGGUAUGUCAAAAUCACACAAAACUAUCUGAAUACAACCAAUCCGUGAAGAUGAAGAUCAAAAAGGAAGAGAGUUUCACAAGAAAUAUAAAAAAAGGUUGUCUUUUUACGAC